UUAUUAUGAAUUCACUUUGGC
rnacentral:piRNA from 1 species